AGCAGGGGCAUAAGGUAGUGACAGCUAAGGAGUGUUGAGUUCCGCUGGGAGGUGGGCGGCCCAGGCAGCCCGCCCAGGGAGGAGGGGCAGCAAACAACGGUGCUGCAGCCGGAGGGAAUGGCAGGGAUGAAAGGAGGGCUUGCAGGACGCACUGUGCCAAAAGGCUGUGAGGUCCACAUCCAGAAGAACACAAGAGCCAGAGCGGGGCAUCCACACACCACCCAAAAGGUGCACACUCGCACACGU